UUGCAUAUCAAUAAGCGGAGGAAAAGAAACCAACAGGGAUUACCUCAGUAACGGCGAGUGAAGCGGUAACAGCUCAAAUUUGAAAUCCGGCUCUUUCAGGGUCCGAGUCGUAAUUUGUAGAAGAUGCUUUGGGUGUGGCCCUGGUCUAAGUUCCUUGGAACAGGACGUCAUAGAGGGUGAGAAUCCCGUAUGUGACUAGGUGCUUUCGCCCGUGUAAAGCUCUUUCGACGAGUCGAGUUGUUUGGGAAUGCAGCUCAAAAUGGGUGGUAAAUUUCAUCUAAAGCUAAAUAUUGGCCAGAGACCGAUAGCGCACAAGUAGAGUGAUCGAAAGAUGAAAAGCACUUUGGAAAGAGAGUUAAACAGUACGUGAAAUUGUUGAAAGGGAAGCGCUUGCAACCAGACUUAGUUGCGGCCGAUCAUCUAGGGUUCUCCCUGGUGCACUCGGUCGUAUCUAGGCCAGCAUCGGUUUGGGUGGUGGGAUAAAGGCCUUGGGAAUGUAGCUUCUUACGGGGAGUGUUAUAGCCCUCGGUGCAAUGCCGCCUACCUGGACCGAGGACCGCGCUUCGGCUAGGAUGCUGGCGUAAUGGUUGUAAGCGACCCG
rnacentral:rRNA from 1 species